rnacentral:rRNA from 1 species
UACGAAGGGUGCAAGCGUUACUCGGAAUUACUGGGCGUAAAGCGUGCGUAGGUGGUUCGUUAAGUCUGAUGUGAAAGCCCUGGGCUCAACCUGGGAAUGGCAUUGGAAACUGGCGGCCUAGAGUGCGGUAGAGGGUAGUGGAAUUCCCGGUGUAGCAGUGAAAUGCGUAGAGAUCGGGAGGAACAUCCGUGGCGAAGGCGACUACCUGGACCAGCACUGACACUGAGGCACGAAAGCGUGGGGAGCAAACAGG